rnacentral:rRNA from 2 species
CCCGGUGGUUUUUCCGGUGGGGCAACACCCGAUCCCUUUCCGAACUCGGAAGUUAAGACCACCAGGGCCGAUGGUACUUGCACCGCAGGGUGCCGGGAGAGUAGGUCGCCGCCGGGG